GAUGAACGCUGGCGGUAUGCUUAACACAUGCAAGUCGAACGGACUCUUCGGAGUUAGUGGCGGACGGGGGAGUAACGCGUGAGAAUCUGGCUUUGGGUUCGGGACAACCCCUGGAAACGGUGGCUAAUAUCGGAUAUGCUGAGAGGUAAAAGCGUAAUUGCCUGAAGAUGAGCUCGCGUCUGAUUAGCUAGUUGGUGAGGUAAAGGCUCACCAAGGCAGCGAUCAGUAGCUGGUCUGAGAGGAUGACCAGCCACACUGGGACUGAGACGCGGCCCAGACUCCUACUGGACGCAGCAGGCAAGAAUUUUCCGCAAUGACCGAAAGCCUGACGGAGCAAUACCGCUUGAGGGAAGAAGUCUCUUGGGUUGAAAACCUCUUUGCUUAUGGAAGACCAAAAUGACGGUACCUAAGGAAUCAGCACCGGCUAACUCCGUG
rnacentral:rRNA from 1 species